UAUUCUUCCUAUGCGGGAAGGAUGAGAAGCUUCGACCAAGGUUCGAUUCGAGCGUUAGCGAGAAAGCGUUGCCGCAGGCAACGACCCGAAGGGCGAAGCGCGCAGCGCUGAGUAAUCCUUCCCCCACCACCA
rnacentral:sRNA from 1 species